UCUCGGUGAUGAACAAAAAUGAUGACGAGUCCGAUAUUCCAUUCUUUUAAUCGUGACGACAAACCGAGGCAUUUGUCUGAGAGGC